rnacentral:rRNA from 1 species
AGAGUUUGACACUGGCUCAGAACGAACGCUGGCGGCGUGGUUUAGGCAUGCAAGUCGAGCGAGAAAGUCUCCUUCGGGGGGCGAGUAAAGCGGCGAAAGGGUGAGUAAUAUAUAGGUAACCUACCUCUCGAACUGGGAUAAUUCCUGGAAACGGGUUGUAAAACCAGAUGGUCCCUCUCGGGUCCAUGUCCCCGAUUGGUAAACGGUAGCUCUGCUUCUGUCGAGGGAGGGGCCUAUGUCCUAUUAGCUUGUUGGUGAGGUAACGGCUCACCAAGGCAUUGAUGGGUAGCCGGACUGAGAGGUUGGCCGGUCACACCGGGACUGAGACACUGCCCGGACUCCUACGGGAGGCUGCAGUCGAGAAUCUUCCGCAAUGGGCGAAAGCCUGACGGGGCGACGCCGCGUGGACGAAGAAGGCCCUUGGGUUGUAAAGUUCUGUCAGAAGGGAGAAUGGGCAGGGGUUAAUAGCCUUCUAGUUUGACGUUAUCUUCAGAGGAAGCCCUGGCUAACUCCGUGCCAGCAGCCGCGGUAAUACGGAGAGGGCAAGCGUUAUUCGGAAUUACUGGGCAUAAAGGGCACGUAGGCGGACCAUUAAGUCAGUUGUGAAAUCCCAGAGCUCAACUCUGGAACGGCUUCCGAAACUUGUGGUCUGGAGGGCGAGAGGGGGGAGUGGAACUUCUGGUGGAGCGGUGAAAUGCGUAGAGAUCAGAAGGAACACCGGUGGCGAAAGCGACUCCCUGGCUCGUUUCUGACGCUCAGGUGCGAAAGCUAGGGUAGCGAACGGGAUUAGAUACCCCGGUAGUCCUAGCCGUAAACGAUGGGCACUAGGUAGGGGAGGUUCUGACACCUUCUCUGCUGGAGCUAAUGUAUUAAGUGCCCCGCCUGGGGAGUAUGGUCGCAAGGCUAAAACUCAAAGGAAUUGACGGGGGCUCACACAAGCGGUGGAGCAUGUGGUUUAAUUCGAAGCAACGCGCAGAACCUUACCUGGGUUUGACCGCUAGUUGUAGGCUCCUGAAAAGGAGCCGAACUGCGUAAGCAGAAGGCUAGUACAGGUGCUGCAUGGCUGUCGUCAGCUCGUGUCGUGAGAUGUCGGGUUAAGUCCCUUAACGAGCGAAACCCCUACUGUCUAGUUGCCAACGGGUUAUGCCGGGUACUCUAGCGGGACUGCCGUGGUUAACACGGAGGAAGGCGGGGAUGACGUCAAGUCCUCAUGGCCCUUAUACCCAGGGCUACACACGUGCUACAAUGGCCGGUACAAAGGGCAGCAAAGCGGUAACGUGGAGCAAAUCCCAUAAAGCCGGUCCCAGUACGGAUCGAGGGCUGCAAUUUGCCCUCGUGAAGUUGGAAUCGCUAGUAAUCGCGGAUCAGCAAUGCCGCGGUGAAUAUGUUCCUGAGCCUUGUACACACCGCCCGUCAAGCCACGGGAGCUGGUAGUGCCCGAAGUCGCUGACCCAACUCUUCGGAGAGGGAGGCGCCGACGGUAAGACCGGUGACUGGGACUAAGUCGUAACAAGGUAACC